rnacentral:rRNA from 1 species
YUNAGAGGGACAAGUGGCGUUCAGCCACACGAGAUUGAGCAAUAACAGGUCUGUGAUGCCCUUAGAUGUUCGGGGCCGCACGCGCGCUNCACUGAAGGAGUCAACGUGUCUGCUUCCUGAUCCGAAAGGACCGGGUAACCCGAUGAACGUCCUUCGUGCUAGGGAUUGGGGCUUGUAAUUCUUCCCCAUGAACGAGGAAUUCCCAGUAAGCGCGAG